rnacentral:rRNA from 1 species
UAAGUCGGAGGUGAAAUCCCAGAGCUCAACUGUGGAACUGCCUUUGAUACUGGUAGUCUUGAGUUAUAGUGAAGUAGAUAGAAUAUGUAGUGUAGCGGUGAAAUGCAUAGAUAUUACAUAGAAUACCGAUUGCGAAGGCAGUAUACUAACUGUAUACUGACGCUGAUGGACGAAAGCGUGGGGAGCGAACAGGAUUAGAUACCCUGGUAGUCCACGCCGUAAACGAUGGUCACUAGUUGUUGGGGUUUUG